rnacentral:tRNA from 1 species
GCGAGGGUGGCGGAAUCGGUAGACGCGCUAGAUUUAGGAUCUAGUGAGGAAACUCAUGGGGGUUCGAGUCCCCCCUCUCGCACCA